CAAUGUAUGCUUUGGAAACUGUUAGACUUGAGUGCAGAAGGGGAGAGUGGAAUUCCAUGUGUAGCGGUGAAAUGCGUAGAUAUAUGGAGGAACACCGGUGGCGAAAGCGGCUCUCUGGUCUGUCACUGACGCUGAGGCUCGAAAGCGUGGGUAGCGAACAGGAUUAGAUACCCUGGUAGUNCACGCCGUAAACGCUGAGUGCUAGGUGUUAGGUCCUUUCCGGGACUUAGUGCCGACGCUAACGCAUUAAGCACUCCGCCUGGGGAGUACGACCGCAAGGUUGAAACUCAAAGGAAUUGACGGGGGCCCGCACAAGCGGUGGAGCAUGUGGUUUAAUUCGAAGCAACGCGAAGAACCUUACCAGGUCUUGACAUCCCGAUGCCCGCUCUAGAGAUAGAGUUUUUCUUCGGAACAUCGGAGACAGGUGGUGCAUGGUUGUCGUCAGCUCGUGUCGUGAGAUGUUGGGUUAAGUCCCGCAACGAGCGCAACCCUUAUUGUUAGUUGCCAUCAUUAAGUUGGGCACUCUAGCGAGACUACCGGUAAUAAACCGGAGGAAGGUGGGGAUGGCGUCAAAUCAUCAUGCCCCUUAUGACCUGGGCUACACACGUGCUACAAUGGUUGGUACAACGAGUCGCAAGCCGGUGACGGCAAGCUAAUCUCUGAAAGCCAAUCUCAGUUCGGAUUGUAGGCUGCAACUCGCCUACAUGAAGUCGGAAUCGCUAGUAAUCGCGGAUCAGCACGCCGCGGUGAAUACGUUCCCGGGCCUUGUACACACCGCCCGUCACACCACGAGAGUUUGUAACACCCAAAGUCGGUGAGGUAACCAUUUAUGGGGCCAGCCGCCUAAGGUGGGANGGAUGAU
rnacentral:rRNA from 1 species